rnacentral:ncRNA from 1 species
UUGAGAAAAAGGCAAAUCUGUCGAAAGACAGGGACGCAAAGUCACAGGCCUGUCGUCAUUUUCAGUGACUACGGCGGCUGGGCUGCCUAA